rnacentral:rRNA from 1 species
AACUAAGGUCUAAAUACUCAGACAACACCAGAUUCCAUCUGAUCUUGGAAGGUAAGCAGGGUCAGUCCAGGUUAGUAUCUAGAUGGGAGACAUUCAAUGAAUACCAGUUCUUGUAGGCU